UGUCACCGGUGAAAAGAGCGGGAAAACAUUAUCCGGUGGAAAGAGCGGGAAAAAGACUUGUAUUCGGUGAAAAGAGCGCGAAAAUUCGCGUGCGCCAAAUCUACACCUGAUUGGCUAAAAAGGCAAUAUGGUUACUAUGAUAGACUUUAGGUCGCACAAGUUUUUGAAUCGAUAGACAGUUCGGAAAAACGGAAAUGUUUUAUUUUAAUAUACUACUUUUGCACUAUAUGAGAGGGUUUGAACAUAAUCCGUGCUAGAGAAGUGGAGAGAGCCACUUGCUCAGAAAUCCGCAAACUCAGACGGAUUUUCGCUUUAGCUUUUCACUUGAGUGCGAAAUUUCGUUACUCUAUCUCUGAAGAGCACAGGUUUUAGUUUCGAUUACCCAAAUCUCGUCUCAUUUUUGUUUUAACCAAUUCGUUACUGAUUCCUUACUGUAAAUUUUGUCUUUUUUUUUCUCAGUGAAUAUUUAUCUGAAAGUGCAACGUCUCCAAUUAACGUUGAUUGUAAAACAAGAGAAGAAGUAGAGUUAAAUUUAAAACAUCCUGGACGAUACAUGUUUGACGCUGCUCAGGACCACAUUUUCCAGCUGAUGAAAUCGGACAGCUAUCGCCGUUUUAUCCGCUGUGACCAGUACAAAGAACUUCUCAAGGCUCCUUCAAACAAACAGAAAAGUCCACUUCCCACAAAACCACUACAAAAUUUGGCGCGGAUUGCUGGCAAGACAUAACGUCAGUUGUACUGGAUAUUUAUUUCUUUGAGAAUAGACUAUAAAGAAUUAAUUCUACCUUUACAUAAUGGAAAAAGUGUUCUGUAGCCUUAGAACAACGAUUUAGAGGAGCAGAACGCAGCGCGAGGAACUCAAAAGGGAGCGCGUUUUUCUUCCCUAAACUGCUUGUUGUGCAGCUCACCCUUACGAUCUGAUGACCCUUGUUAGCCUUAGGAGUAAAUAUCAUUUUGUUAUUAUUGUUUUGAGAUAGCUUAUUUUUUUUUAAACGCUUGAAAGAACCCAUAGGACAUUUAGUCGCUAAGUAACUUGAAGACUGAUCGUAAGAAUUUGUUUUCGUAACGAUCAUUGUUACUUGGUGAAUUGUAACGCAACCUGUCAUGAGAACGUAGGUGUGUAAUUCUAGGUAUUUUAGUGGCAAAUGGAAUGAAUAUCAAAUUUUGUAUAGCAGUUGGCCAUUUAAAUAGUGUUUUGUUCACAGUAAAUGAUCAAGUUCAAAAAUUUUGAUGUGAAUGGCCAGAGAAAAAGAAACCAGUUGACAUGUAGGUGUAUUUUCAAAGUAAAAAUAAUUUUUCAGCUAAUUCUUCUAACGCAAUGUUUUUUUUCGUUUCCACAACCUUCUAACUGUAAAUUCCACGAUUCGAUGAAACUGUGGCAUUUUGUUGAUUUAGGAGUUCCUGGUCUUAAACUGUCCUGACUUUUCCGAUGAUUAAGAAAAUACUGUCUAAUUUCUUUAAAAUUCAGCAUGCUAUAUAUAAGGUAGUCAUUAUGUUGUGCUGUUUCCGUAUUUUGUAUUUCUGGAGAAGCUUGAAAUUGUAAAUUCAACGAGUAAUUGAAGACUUGCACAGCCGUAAUUUGGGUCGUAACGCAACGCUUUUCGUAACGGCAUUAUGUCACGCAACGUCUCUUGUAAAAGCUCUGUGUCACGAUACAUGAAACGGGUGUGCGUUCCCCACUAGUUAGGAAAUUAAUAUAAAAAAUGUACAAUUAUAAAAACGUGAAUGGAAUCAUUUGAAACUGUAUUAAUAGUUAUUAAUCUAUUGAGAUUUGACAUCACUAUCAUAUAGUAAAGUGAUAAAUUGGCUAUUUAAUGGAUAAAUAGAAUUUAUUGAAUAACACAAAGUGAUUUAUUGCGAGAAAUAUUCUUGAAAUGAAUAAAGACGAUUUUUUUUCCAGACCAGCUUUUAAAAACACA